rnacentral:hammerhead_ribozyme from 1 species
AUCCAGUUAACGAGUCCCAAAUAGGACGAAACGUGCGUCAAACUGGAU